CCCCACCUCUCUCUCUCCAUGCCCUCUGUUUCUUUUUGAUCUGAUGUGUAUUGAGGUUCAGUUUUCACCAUGUUGAUCUGAUGCUGAGACGUGCUAGCUACAACAGAAGCAGCUAGACACUUUGGUUUUGCAGUUCCAAAACUACACAAAAGUUGGAGAGAACGUGUACCAUUACCAUCAGUGGUCGGGGAAUAGAACAUGAAUCAGACAAUUCGUUCUUUGUACAAUCAGAGUUUAGAGGACAGUAUACUGCAUCACAAUUUUGGUUCUUUUGUUGUUGCUUGUAUAAAUGAUCACCUACAUUGUAGGGGCUUCUCCCUAUACUGGGCUUUAGAAUGUGUCGCAACUAAAAGUCAAGGAAUUUUUUCAGUCGAAUAAAAUUUAGUAACUAGCCUUUUCAUAUUGAUCUUUAUCUGCAGCGUGAUGGGUGUGGACAAAAACAUGUGGUGUUACCUUACAGUAUGUACUUUAUCUUCCUUUAUGCCGCAUACAUAAUGGAAUUAGAAAGUAUAUUUUUAGUAUAUUAAAACUAGCCUGUCCCUUCCUUUUAGUGUACUGAAUUAGUUCUUAUAAUCUAAUCAAGUGUACACUUAUCUGUUGUCUGUACUAUAGCGGUGAUUAUCAGAAGUCCAAGACCACACUGUAGGCAGGAAAAAGGAAUGUUCUUGUAGGUUGCUCGCGGGUGACUUCUCAGGUGUCACGGCGCUUGCAUUGUAGAUUAGUAGAGGGAAUAUUGAGACGACGAGGAGAUGCGACUUAACUGCAGUCCGCACAACACCAUGAACCAGGGUAAAGAGGUUAAUCUCUUCCAAUACACAAUUGUUGAGGUGUUCAAAAAUCUUAGUGAGAGAGGACAUUGACGGUGCGAGAAUGGAACAUAACAAGUUUUUUUUGUGUGUGUGUGUGUGCAUUACCGAAACGUUGCACGACAUGUUCUUGAAGUCCGCCCUCUCAUUGAUUGGAACGAGGUGAAAGUUGUGGAAUUUUUGCUGUGACCACCUGGACUAAGAUGACAGGGCUGACAAAGAUGAAGCCAAGUUGAAGAUUCAGAGUUGCUAGGCAGGCACAGUUAACAGGGAUAAGAAACUAUAGAAGAUUUAUCAAAUCAGACAUGGGCUUGGUUAUGCAAUGAUUCAUUGGGAUCUGAGGCUCUGCGCUAGGUGGGGUUGUCAUCCUCCAUUAUUUAUGGCCAUGACAAAUGACAAUAUCAGGAUGCUAUUCAACUUUGACUUUUGUCGACAUGUGUUUUGAUGCUACUUCAAUUCUUUAGCGCAUCGCGAUGAGGCUGAUACUGUUGGUUGUACACUGAAGGUUGAAAAUGUUAACUGUUUUGAAUAGAGUAUUUCAAUAUAUUGGCACAGAUUAGCAACAAUACUUACUAUGGUAAUUACAAUGCCAUAAAAUUUCUGAAUUAUUAGAAUAUUUUGCACUAUUACACAUUAUUUAAUAAUUGGUGCAAUCUAAUGUUAAUCCACCUAAAUUUGAUAAUAGCUAAAAUUUCUAACAUGCCUCACGUCUUCAUGUUUCUAGCUUCAAAUCCUUAAAAACAAAUUGUUCUACAACUCUCUAUCUUGCUAGAAUGGACUUGUUACCCAUAUAUGUGUAUCUACCUGAGAGCAAACUUUACAUACUUAAAAAAUGUACCUUUUGUGGUCAGAAUCUAACUGCAUUUUUUGUUUAUAA